UUUUUUUAACUGCUUCAGCUUUUUGCUGCAAUUCGCACUGCGGACACGAGGUGGUGAUAGAGUGAAGCUCAGAGCAGAUUCGUGUUUAAAAGCGACUCAGCUCACUUCUGUUUUCGCCGGGCGCGGUGGCGCGUGCCUGUAAUCCAAGCUACUGGGAGGCUGAGGCUGGCGGAUCGUUUGAGCUCAGGGGUUCUGGGCUGCAGUGGGCUAUGCCGAUCGGGUGUCCGCACUAAGUUCGGUAUCGAUAUGGUGCUCCUGAGGGAGCUCGGGGCCACCAGGUCGGGAACGGAGCAGGUCAAAGCCCUCGUGCCGAUCAGUAGUGGGAUCGCGCCUGUGAAUAGACACUGCCGUGCAGCCUGAGUAAUACAGCGGGACUCAGUCUUUUACACUUACUUUUUAACAAACCACUUCAACAACACACUGUCCUUUCACAACUAUAUUUCAGUCUCUGCUCCUAAAUGCACAAAUGUUACAGUGUACAUCACACAUACACUUCAGUCUCAUCAAUAGGGUUUAAACAGGGUUUGGGUUUCAGGGACGAUAAAUAUAACCAGAAAAUGCCCAAAACAAUCAGGGAUCAUUUUAAAUAAUAAACUCGCUAAUUUUUUCUUAUCUUUUACCCGUUUUAUGUAUCUUAUGGCAGAAUUGAAAGGUAUUAGGUUAUUAUCG
ensembl:lncRNA